UACGGAGGAUCCAAGCGUUAUCCGGAAUUACUGGGCGUAAAGAGUUGCGUAGGCGGCAUAGUAAGUAGAUAGUAAAAGCCUGGGGCUCAACCCCUUAAAUAUUGUCUAAACUGCUAAGCUAGAAUAUAGAAGAGGUAGCUGGAAUUCCUUGUGUAGGAGUGAAAUCCGUAGAUAUAAGGAGGAACACCGAUGGCGUAGGCAGGCUACUGGUCUAUUAUUGACGCUAAGGCACGAAAGCGUGGGGAGCAAACGGG
rnacentral:rRNA from 1 species